rnacentral:rRNA from 1 species
CCUGAUGUUAGCGGCGGACGGGUGAGUAACACGUGGAUAACCUACCUAUAAGACUGGGAUAACUUCGGGAAACCGGAGCUAAUACCGGAUAAUAUUUUGAACCGCAUGGUUCAAAAGUGAAAGACGGUCUUGCUGUCACUUAUAGAUGGAUCCGCGCUGCAUUAGCUAGUUGGUAAGGUAACGGCUUACCAAGGCAACGAUGCAUAGCCGACCUGAGAGGGUGAUCGGCCACACUGGAACUGAGACACGGUCCAGACUCCUACGGGAGGCAGCAGUAGGGAAUCUUCCGCAAUGGGCGAAAGCCUGACGGAGCAACGCCGCGUGAGUGAUGAAGGUCUUCGGAUCGUAAAACUCUGUUAUUAGGGAAGAACAUAUGUGUAAGUAACUGUGCACAUCUUGACGGUACCUAAUCAGAAAGCCACGGCUAACUACGUGCCAGCAGCCGCGGUAAUACGUAGGUGGCAAGCGUUAUCCGGAAUUAUUGGGCGUAAAGCGCGCGUAGGCGGUUUUUUAAGUCUGAUGUGAAAGCCCACGGCUCAACCGUGGAGGGUCAUUGGAAACUGGAAAACUUGAGUGCAGAAGAGGAAAGUGGAAUUCCAUGUGUAGCGGUGAAAUGCGCAGAGAUAUGGAGGAACACCAGUGGCGAAGGCGACUUUCUGGUCUGUAACUGACGCUGAUGUGCGAAAGCGUGGGGAU